CCUACAUUUUGUACCUGGCCUUAACAAACUUAACCCACUUGAUUUUUUAGCCCCUUUGACUUUGGUAGCCUUUCACAAACCUAUGAACCCAUUGAUGUGAUUCUAUCAUUCUAUAUUAUGAUUUUUGUUGAACCAACUUCGAGGAACAGGUCGCAUCCGUUGAUUUUUAAUUAGGAGGAUGAAUUAGUUUCUUUGAUUUAAUUGGUACCUUGUUGAUUUCCUUUAGCUAUUUUAAAUCCAAUUAAAUCUUGCCACAUUCUAUUCCCUCACCCCAAUUAAAUUAAGAGUUGAAUUAUUUCCUUACGGCUAAGUAAGCAAAUUUUCGCCCCCUCCCUCAUUAUUUCCUACUUGAAGAUUUAAUUUAUUUUGUUCCCUUGUUUAUGGAAUAUUCAUUGUUUUAUUUCCUAAAUUGUGAAUCGAUUCCUCUCCAAGUAAAUACCAAAUAAAUUCUUUAUUGAAUUUCUAGCCAUAAUUUUCGAAACCUUGCCUUCCUUUUAUUGUGGGAUUUUAUUUAUUGGUGUUGAUUUGUAGAAGUAUAUGAGAGAAGGGAGACUUUCUUGUUUGAUAGGAAUAUAUGGCUUCUCUUAUUUUUCACACCAUGAAACUACAUGUUACAUACAUAUAUAUAUAGUUGAUAAUGGAUAAGGUAAUCCACAUCUCAUCAUCAAAACUAAUACCAUGCUUAUCUAUAAUUUCAUCCUUAUCCCUAAACAAACCCUAUCCCCCAUUCUCCAUCACAAAAAAUGUCCACCUCCCUCUCUCCCUCACUCCACACGUUUUUUCCCCCUCCCUCUCUACAAUCUCUCCAAAAAUCCUCCAUUCAAUUCCUGUUCUUGCAUCCGUUGAAGUUUAUUUUCAAGAAUCUCUGACGAAUCGCAUCGUUUCUUGUCUCUACCGAUCCAUUUUUGUCAAAGAAGGGUGAUUGAGUAUACGUGAGCUCGAGGAACGAGGGUUGCCUUAAAUAGAUAUUGAAUGGUUUAAGUAAACGAGCAAUCGAGAAUUUCGUCGCUGCGAUGAAACAGCAGCAACAGAGGCGACGGAGAUGCAACAGCGCCGUCAGCUCGAGUGGGAGCCAGUCGGCAGAUUCCCAGACUCGUGUCACGACGGCAGCACUGCAGCGUUUCAGUGGGAGUCCGACAAAGGCAUGAUCGGUGCAGGAGCAGCGACGACAACGGCGCUGCGGUACCGAGCGGGGUGUUGGAGGCAACGUGGGAGCAGCGACAACGAUGUAGCAGCAGCGUCAGUGACGACGCAGCAGCAUCGACGUCGGACUGCAGCGGCGUCCCUCCGUGAGCAGCCCCAAGAAUGGACGAAAUUAGGGUUUUUGUCCUAUGCGCGAUGCUCGCGCGGGUGGAACCCGCGUGACGUCGAUCGCCUCGUUCCGUGACUACGCUUUCCAAAAAUUGAUUAGGGUUUUUCCUUGGAUUCAAUUUUGGAAAUUAUUCAAGAUAAAUAUGGAAAUAAGAUUUGAAUAUAUCUUUUGUGGAUUUUAUAUAUUAUAUGAGAUUUAA